rnacentral:rRNA from 1 species
UACGAAGGGGGCUAGCGUUGCUCGGAAUCACUGGGCGUAAAGCGCACGUAGGCGGGUCGUUAAGUCGGGGGUGAAAUCCUGGAGCUCAACUCCAGAACUGCCUUCGAUACUGGCGACCUUGAGUCCGGGAGAGGUGAGUGGAACUCCGAGUGUAGAGGUGAAAUUCGUAGAUAUUCGGAGGAACACCGGUGGCGAAGGCGGCAUCCUGGACCGACACUGACACUGAGGAGCGAAAGCCAGGGGAGCAAACGGG